CUUGGUUAGAGGAAGUAAAAGUCGUAACAAGGUCUCCGUAGGUGAACCUGCGGAGGGAUCAUUAACACGUUCCAAACGUUUCAAACAAACCGGUUGACUGUACCCUCCCUAGUAUGGAUGUGCCGAACAAUGCUGUGUUUAGUGGUGGGUGAGCCUUCGGGUUCACAAAUGCACUUGUUCUGGGGUUAACAACCCAAGGUCUCCUUAUUAGGCUUUUUUUUUUCUAUUCUCCAUCACUUACAUACUAACCCUUUUCACCUUUGAAAUCUUUUGACUAAAUCUUUCGAACGAAGAAAUUUGUUUGGAAUUGUAUAUGAAACAUUGUACAACUCUUAGCAAUGGAUAUCUUGGUUCUC
rnacentral:misc_RNA from 1 species